GUGGGGAAUAUUGGGCAAUGGGGGAAACCCUGACCCAGCGACGCCGCGUGAGGGAAGACGGCCUUCGGGUUGUAAACCUCUUUUGUACGGGAAGAAGGAAGUGACGGUACUGUACGAAUAAGUCCCGGCUAACUACGUGCCAGCAGCCGCGGUAAUACGUAGGGGACGAGCGUUGUCCGGAAUUACUGGGCGUAAAGGGCGCGCAGGCUGUGCUGCAAGUCAGCUGUGAAAUGUCUGGGCUUAACCCGUGCAUGCGGUUGAGACUGCAGUGCUGGAGUGCUGUAGAGGCAAGUGGAAUUCCCAGUGUAGCGGUGAAAUGCGUAGAUAUUAGGAGGAACACCAGUGGCGAAGGCGGCUUUCUGGACUGUAACUGACACUGAGGCUCGAAAGCCAGGGGAGCGAACGGGAUUAGAUACCCCGGUAGUCC
rnacentral:rRNA from 1 species